rnacentral:rRNA from 1 species
AUUGAACGCUGGCGGAACGCUUUACACAUGCAAGUCGAACGGUAACGCGGUGAGAAGCUUGCUUCUCACCGGCGACGAGUGGCGAACGGGUGAGUAAUACAUCGGAACGUGUCCGCUCGUGGGGGACAACCAGCCGAAAGGUUGGCUAAUACCGCAUGAGUUCUACGGAAGAAAGAGGGGGACCCGCAAGGGCCUCUCGCGAGCGGAGCGGCCGAUGACUGAUUAGCCGGUUGGUGAGGUAACGGCUCACCAAAGCAACGAUCAGUAGCUGGUCUGAGAGGACGACCAGCCACACUGGGACUGAGACACGGCCCAGACUCCUACGGGAGGCAGCAGUGGGGAAUUUUGGACAAUGGGCGCAAGCCUGAUCCAGCUAUUCCGCGUGUGGGAUGAAGGCCCUCGGGUUGUAAACCGCUUUUGUAGAGAACGAAAAGACACCUUUUAAAAAAGGGUGUUGCUGACGGUACUCUAAGAAUAAGCACCGGCUAACUACGUGCCAGCAGCCGCGGUAAUACGUAGGGUGCGAGCGUUAAUCGGAAUUACUGGGCGUAAAGGGUGCGCAGGCGGUUGAGUAAGACAGAUGUGAAAUCCCCGAGCUUAACUCGGGAAUGGCAUAUGUGACUGCUCGACUAGAGUGUGUCAGAGGGAGGUGGAAUUCCACGUGUAGCAGUGAAAUGCGUAGAUAUGUGGAAGAACACCGAUGGCGAAGGCAGCCUCCUGGGACAUAACUGA